GAGAAACCUGUGACCUAGCAGACAAGACACAAAGGAGGCGGCUUUCAACACCAUUGAAGGAGAUUUAUCAAGAAUCGUUCAUGGAUCGUUCUUGUAAUUCUUCUUUAAUCUCUUUCUCUUGUUUAUUUGCUAUGAAUAACUAAACCCUCCGUUGUUGGGGAUGAGUAGACCUAGAUGAUUACAUUUGUCAUGUGAUUGGAUUAUGAUUAUUGAUGAAACUUAUUGAAUUGUUUUUCUUAUCUCCAUGCUUAAUGC
rnacentral:lncRNA from 1 species